rnacentral:rRNA from 1 species
CAGUAGCCACGGUAAUACGGAGGAUCAAAGCGUUAUCCGGAAUUAUUGGGUUUAAAGGGUCCGUAGGCGGUCUUGUAAGUCAGUGGUGAAAGCCCAUCGCUCAACGGUGGAACGGCCAUUGAUACUGCAGGACUUGAAUUAUUGGGAAGUAACUAGAAUAUGUAGUGUAGCGGUGAAAUGCUUAGAGAUUACAUGGAAUACCAAUUGCGAAGGCAGGUUACUACCAAUUGAUUGACGCUGAUGGACGAAAGCGUGGGUAGCGAACAGGAUUAGAUACCCCCGUAGUCCCUGUCUCUUAUAC